GAGAUCGCCACCUACCGCAAGCUGCUGGAGAGCGAGGAGAGCAGGAUGUCUGGAGAUUGUCCCAGUGCAAUCAGCAUCUCGGUGACCGGCAACUCUACCUCGGUGUGCUCCGGCGGCGCAGCUGGCUUCUCUUUGGGCGGGGCUGGCGGGGCCAGCAAGGGAGGCUACAGUACCAGUGCGAUUCAUGGCUCUGCUAAGGGCGGUCAGGUCUCUGGGGGAACCUCCAUCUUGCGGAAGACCACCACGGUCAAGACCUCUAGCCGGCGAUACUAGCAGCAAGGCUUUGCGAGUUGGGCCUUGGUCCUCACGUUGGCCGUGGCUUCUCAGGACCACAGAGGCUGAGUAUUUUUAGUGCACAAUUUACAUAUAAUUUGCAUUUGGGAAAGGGCUCAAAUUUACCCAGGUUUUUCUCCUUGGUUGUGCAGUGGAAUGGGAGGGAAGUCAGGAUCACCAGCUGGUUGAUUUGGGGGUGACUUGACCAUUUAGAGGGGGUAGGAUGUCCAGUUCUGCUUUGUCACCUCAGCAGAUUUGCUCUGAGUUCAGGGCAAGCUGGAGGAGGGAGAAGGGGUUGCCAGAGAUCUGCAGCUCUUCUCUCUCUCACCAGAACAGCCUUGUCACCUCAUGUCCAAGUCCCUGUCUGUGCCUGUGAUGUGUCUCAAUAAACAGUAACUGCAGCAA
rnacentral:lncRNA from 1 species